AGCCAGUACUGGUAACCAGCUGCAGUACUUUUUGUGUGGUGUGGAAGUGUUUGUUUUUUGCAAUAGAUUUUUGUUGCAGUUUAGGUUUGUAUUUUCUUUGUUUUGUAGUGCUUAUUAUGAAGGUUCGUAGGUUUAUGUCUGUAGGCCAGGCAGGUCAUUAAACUUAACAAAGAAUAAGUAAGUCGGGAGAGGGGAAUAGAAAUCUCCACAUACAUAUUCUUAAAAGCUGUAACACUCACCACAAAGAUCUGCUGAGUGAAGUCUGUGAGACGAACGCACCAAGUCUGGACGCUCUGUCAGGCUACAUUUUACGUUUUUGGGAGUGAGCAGGUGUUAUUCUGUUCCCCGGGUUGGUUUUGAAGUCAUGGCUCUCAAGUAAUUUUUGUGCUUCUCAAAAGUGCUGGAAUUGCAAAGAUCAACAUCAAAAGCUACAAACUGGAAACAGAGGAAGAUACUAGCCCCGUGUUUCUGAUUCAGUAUCACUGAAAUACUUUGGAACCAUAUAAAGGGCAAAGUACAUUCCACAUGUUGAAGGACAGUGCCUGGCCCUGUGGGGUGUCAUCCCCAAGCUGUAGGCAUAGUGGCAACCCAGGGGUUCAUCUCAACUCCCAUCAGAGUUCAAACAUUGAAUUAGUUGUGCAAUGGAAGGAGUAUUACCAGGACCCAGAUGCAGCCCAAGGAAAAAAGAAAACAAAAGGAGACACACACAGACACCAGAGCAUGAUGCAAGUGUGGCUUAAUCGGUGCUUGCACAUUGGGCUUGUUCUUUCCAAACCUGUUGCCCCGAUUCUGCAAGGCUAUCCUGCUGUAGAAGGAGGCCCUGGAGGACAAGACACCAUGUGGGGAAAACAGCCAUGGGGAGCAGAACCGAGGUAUCCCAGCUUAGCUCCCAACUGACAGCAGCCACAUGAGUGAGCAGAAAAACAACUUCCAAGGGUGAUUUAGCUACUGCUGCUGUGGAAUGUCAAAACUUUCAGCAAGGGAGCCCGAUGCAGAUCUGUUGAUAUGACACCAUUCCACAAGAAGACCAACUGAUGGCUUUGUGGCAAGUUGACUACACUGGGCUGUUUCUAUUCUGGGAAGACAGAGAUUUGUUCUAAGAGGAAUAGGCAUGUGUUGCAGGCAUAGGUUGACCUUUCCUGCCAUGGAGCCUCCUCUGGUACCACUAUUUGAAGGUUGAAGGAAUGUUGAUUCACCAGGAUUGAGUCAGACCAGCCAAGCCUAUGACCAUGAUGUCAACUGACUGUAUCACCUGUCACAUCAUCCAGAAGCUACAGACUUAUAAGGCAUUGGAAUAACUUGUAGAUGGCCCCGUUAAAGUACCAGCUUAGAGGCAACACUCCAUGAGAAUGAGACAUCAUCUCCAGGAUGGCACAUACACAUUGAAUCACACAGCAUUGAUAAGGAGAUGGCUCCCCAGUAGGAAGAAUAUAUUGGUCAUGAACCAAGGGAUGAAGCAGAAGUGUCUUGCUUCCUGUCCCUGCAGCCUCUCUUUCUGCAGUGCUAGAAAUCCUGGUCAAAAGGGGGCAUAAUUUUAUCAGGGGACACAGCAAAAGUCUCCACUACAUUGCAGCUAUGCCUGCUGCCUGGGGAUUUUGGGCUUCUUAUAAUUGGGACCAGCAAUAAAAGAGAAGAGUCACAGUCUUGGCAGGGCUAAUUGACCCUGAUCAGCAGGAGAAGAAAGGCUGUGGUUCCACUAUGAGGGUAGGGAAGACGUGUGGCACCACUGAUCCACUUUUGCAACCCAUGGUACUCCCGUGGCCAGUUGUGAUGACAGACAAGUGCAGGAACACUUUUGGGAAGGGCAUGGUGGCCAGAGUUCAGACCCCAUGGGAAUGAGGACCAGGGUCACACCACUGGAUAAGCCAGGAGCUUGUGCUUCUAAGCCAUCUACUUUUACAUUUCCUCCAGGAAGAGAGGCCCACUGGAAGGCUGGAGGAGCUGCUCCCCAGAUGUAGAUGAAGUAGAUUUGAGCAGCACAGUGGUGGACCUAGUAGAGGCGGACAUCAAGAUCCUCUUCAAGGAAAGAUUAUCAAUAUAGUUUUCCCUGACCCAGGUGCCAUGUGUUUUCUGUCAUAUUCACGUAUGCUAAUACAUAAUUGUGCAAGUGGGGUAAUAUCUGGGACACUUCAUGGUUCAUAUCAAAACACAGAGUGAAGAGAACAUCCUCUGGGCCAUCUCAGAGUGUGAGUUUGGGGCGGGGGUGGCUCCUGGUUAACAUUUCUGUCCACUGCAGCAUUCCUUUUCCCUUUUGCUUUUAGAUUCUUCCCUUGACAUCACACCAGGAAAGUCUGACAACUUAACUUUAUUGGAUAUAGGCAACCGUUGAAUCCAAGUUUUGCCCACUGAAUCCAUCAAAUUGUUACAGCCAAUUCUAGAUGCCUGAGUGGACACAUGAAAUCCAGAUUCCCCAGUAAGCGCAUCCCCAUUAAUAAACUGACCAAAUGCAAUGUUAAUCUGUUCUAUAACCUUUAGAAUCCAUCCCAACAUAUAUUUUUUAGGUUCCUGCCAAGAUAUGUUAGCAAAAGCUUGCAAUUUUUUGAAAAAUGAAUUAUCUCUUCCUGGGACAUGUGUUGUACUUUUCUCUCUGAAAUAGGCUGAGCUCUGACUCCAUUAAAAGUCUGAAAGCAAUGAAGAGUGAAGGAGCGGAUAUUGGGGAGAAUAGGCAUCCUCUUGCAAGAUAACUGCCUCAAAGUCAUUAUAAGGUUUUCAAGCAAGAGAAAGCUAAUUUCCUUACACAUAUGAAGAAGCGUUGCUUCUCCUGGCAAGAAAUACACAGUGAAUCAGGGAUUCAAAAUUCUUAGCUUUAUCUAAGUUUACCCAGAUGUGUCUAUCCUUCCCAAUCAGUGCUCUUGGCAGGAGACUUGGCAAGUCUGCGAAGUCAACUUAUGUUAUAAUUCUGCAACCCACACAAGUUCUUAUUUUCAAUGAGGGUAACCUUGCAGCCACACAAAAUAGCAAAAUUUUUUAAGGAGUACCAUAGACACACUCUGGUUCUCUGUGUUCAGUGUUUUAAGCCUAUCUUUUUGUUCCCCUGUAAGCUCUUCAAUGUAGUCCAAAAUACACCAUCUGUGGUAGGCAGAAUUCUAAGAAGGUUCCAAAGAUUCUCACCCAUGGUGUAGAGAACUUGUAUAAUUUUCUCCCCUAAAGUGUAGGUGGAGCCCGUGAAUAGGAUGGGAUAUUAAUACCAUGAUUGUGUUAUAUUUUGAGACAAAAAAAAUUUUGUAGAUGUAAUUAAAGGUACUAAUCAGUUGACUAUGAGUUUAUCAAAAGGGAGAUCAUCCAGGUGGGCCUGACCUAAUCAUAUCAGCCCUCUAAAUCCUGGUCUAUGGGUCAGAGAAAGAGGAAGGCAGAGAUUUAAAGCAUGAGAGAAAUUCAAAGCAAACUAGAUUCUCCAUUGCUGUCUUUGAAGACAGGCAGCCAUGUGGCAAGGAAUGUGGGUAGCCGAUAGUGGCCGAUGACAGCUCCCAGCCCACACUUCAAGUUUAGCCUCGUAGGGCCCUGAGCAGGGGACACAACUAUACUGCAUUUACAAC
rnacentral:lncRNA from 1 species